UCUUCAUUGCCGGAGCUAACGCAUUAAAGUUGACCCGCCUGGGGAGUACGGUCGCAAGAUUAAAAACUCAAAGGAAUUGACGGGGGGCCCGCACAAGCGGUGGAGUAUGUGGUUUAAUUCGACGCAACCGCGCAGAACCUUACCUGGUCUUGACAUCCCGGGAAUCAUUUGGAAACAUAUGAGUGCCUCAUUAGAGGAGCCUGGUGACAGGUGCUGCAUGGCUGUCGUCAGCUCGUGUCGUGAGAUGUUGGGUUAAGUCCCGCAACGAGCGCAACCCUUGCCUUUAGUUGCCAUCAUUAAGUUGGGCACUCUAGAGGGACUGCCGGUGUCAAACCGGAGGAAGGUGGGGAUGACGUCAAGUCCUCAUAGCCUUUAUGACCAGGGCUACACACGUACUACAAUGGCAUGUACAAAGGGCAGCCACAGGGUGACCUGGAGCGAAUCCUUAAAACAUGUCUCAGUCCGGAUUGGAGUCUGCAACUCGACUCCAUGAAGUUGGAAUCGCUAGUAAUCGUAGAUCAGCAUGCUACGGUGAAUACGUUCCCGGGCCUUGUACACACCGCCCGUCAC
rnacentral:rRNA from 1 species